rnacentral:rRNA from 1 species
UACGUAGGAAGACUAGUGUUAUUCAUCGUUAGUAGGUUUAAAGGGGUACCUAGACGGAAAUACGUAGCCCAGAAUAGGGUACGGUAUUUCUAAGAUGUUUAUAAGAGGAAGAGGAUGUAUUCAUAGUGUAGAUGAAUAAAAUUUGGUUGAUACUUUGACGACUGGUAAAGGCGAAAAGCAAUCUUCUAAUCGUAAAAACUGAACGUUGAGGGACGAAGGCCCGGGUAACAACAGG